rnacentral:sRNA from 1 species
GCUGGGCAUGGUGGCUCAUGCCUGUAGUCCUAGCUACUUGGGAGGCUGAGGCAGAAGAAUCACUUGAACCUGGGAGGCAGAGGUUGCAGUGAGCCGAGAUCGCGCCACUGCACUCCAGCCUGGGUGACAGAGUGAGAUUCUGUCUCAA